GACACACACCCAUAGGCAGACGCAGACACAGACACACUCAUAUAGACACACAAACAGACACACACAUACGCACACACGCUGGCCCUGUGCGUGUGCCAGACUUUACAAGGGUCUGAGGAUCUGGAAAGAAUCUGGUCUCUUCCUCUCACGUCAGGUUUCGCAAGGGGGAAAGAGCAACAGAGAGAUUUAUUUCCCCGCUGAUGAGUAAGCCACACACCCUCACACAACCUUAAAAUGCUGGCGUGGCUACGCUCCAUGUUGUUAUUUCUUCUAGAGAGGGCUCUGUAUUGGGGGUGCUGGUUGUUUUCGUUCACUCUCUACCUGGCGGGACUGUUGGGAGGACUGCAUGCAAUGUGGUGGCAGCAGUCGUGGUGGUAUAGGCCUCGUGAAUUUUCACCUCCAAGUGGAUCCCAGCGGAAACCUUUCAUGGCUGGGUCUUCAGAAUCCUUUCAAUCAGAAAAGCCGAGCUUACGUUCUCCUUUCUUCUGUUGCCUGAAGUUUGGUUUUCCUCUAAGGCUCCCUGUGCUUGCAAUGCUUUGUGGUGUGGGAGAAUUUUCUUGUUUUUCCGUCCUUUCCUAACGGGCUCGGAGUUGCUCGGCGUGAAACCUCAAGGAAUGCUUCGCCGGAAAACCCAAAUUUUGCCUGCCGCACUCGGGAAGUGUGAAAGAUAAGUAAGGAAGGGCUGGAGUUGCUCACUCCAACGAUGGCACAGGGACUUAGUUUAUUAUUGGAAACUCAAAAGCCUGACUCCUUGCGCUCCUCCUGGGAGGAAAGAAAAUAAGCCUGUUCCAGGUAUUAUUCCUUUCAGUGUUAUCAACAGCUGCAGAAGCCCACGGGCCUGCUUGACUGGAAUCCUGCCACUCCCGUCGCGAGGGGUGGAGGCCACCUUCAGAGUGACCUGGCAUGACCAGGGAUGGACCCGAAAUACCCCCGAGUGGGGAGCUGUCAAGUCGGAGGGAGAGGGAGCCUGAGGACAGCCCGUAUUUUCUUAGCUACAUCCAGGAAGCCUGGAUGGAAUGGGCUUGGCAGCCACAGACUUCCUGAGGAUCCAACUGGGCAGGGGGCACCAGGGGUGCUAGAUCACCGCCGGAGCACCACGCCAUCACGGGACAGUGAAGAAGGAAUGUUUAGCAAAGUCACUCAGGGUUGGCGGGAGGGGAGGGAGGAUGUGGUGAGUAAUAAUAUUAAUAGUGAUAGCUACGGGGGCAUGUUGCAUAGUAGUAGUAAUAAGAAGAAGAUGACAAGGAUAAUAACAAUGCCGAAAGCAGCUAGAAUUUCCUUAGGAGCCAGGCAAUGUGCACAAGUUUAUUGUACACAUUACAUCUCUUUGAAUUCCCCCAACAACUGUGUGUGAGUGAGGCACUGUCAUUAGUUCCAUUUUACAUCUGAGAAACAGAGGUUCAGAGAGACGUGUGGUCACAAAGCCACAAAGUGGCAGAGGCUGGAUAGAACCCUGAGCCUGCUUUUUUAAAUACUUUUUUUAAAAACAAAUAUUUCUUUGUCUUUUUUGUUAUUAAGGUAAUAUUUUUCCUUUUAUUUUAGUGGACAUGUUAUAAUUGUACAAAUUUAUGGGAUGCAGAGUGAUUUUUCUGAUACAUGUACAUAAUGUUCAAUGAUUAAAUCAGGGUAAUUAGCAUA